UCCGUCCAUGAGCACACAGUAUGUAGACAGCAAGUAUGUAGAAAUGACCGAGAUAUAACCCCUUUUUCACAGAAGCAGGGAAAGACCUACUAUACUGUGUGAUAAAUGUCAGGAUAGAAGGAAGAAUGGGAGCUCUGGGAGCAUGUACCAUACAGAGUGACAUCUGGGUAGGCUGCUCAGAGUAAAGCAGCUCUGGUUUGAGCUUUGAAGGUCGAGGAAGAGUUAACCAGAGGAUGUAGUAGAAGUUUGUAGAGGCCCUGUGUUAGGACAUGGAAAAAUCCUUAAGGACUAUGCCCCGUACCAAAGUAACAAGCUAAUCUUCCGGCUACUCCCCAGCCACCAAGCUGCACGGCACAGCAGCCCCAUUCCCUUCCAUCCUCUCCCACCCCAUACUCCUCUGCACCAAGAUAUGGACUUCUGGGGAGUGAAACUUGGAAAAUUACAUCACAGGAUUAAGAGAAACUGAAGCACGAUGGUAUAGCUCAUCAGGUGCCUUCUAGAGCACAGAGCAUGCAAUCUGAGAUCGCACGGCCUGAGUGGCCCUGGAACCCAGAGCACUGCUGGUGGAGAAGGUCACACGUCAGGUCUGCUGGGUGCCCAAGGGGGCGACGAGAGGGGCCUUGUUCUAAGCAUCUAUAAAGAUAAGGACAAAGAUAAGGAUAAUAGCUCUGACCAAAAGCAAACUGGUGAACAAGUAUCUGGAGCCUGAUCCUGAGCUCACAGAGAAAAGGACUACCUUGGAGUAGUUGUACUCUGAGACUCUGUGUUCCAUGUCCUAGCACAGAUGCAUUCUCCAUUCUUAGUCCCAUUAGGUCCUGGGCCCACUCUUGCAUGGAAGGAGGUGUGGCCUCUUUGUUCUUUCUCCUUCCUCAUCCACAUCCUCAUGUAUCCUCUUCUGCUGUGCUUCUGGUAGCCACUUGGUGUGAGGCAAGAUACUGAGGUUCAAGUUUGGGCUCAGUGAGGAGCAAAGGGACUCCAAAAACCUCAGCUUACUGGUACUUUUCACAUAUACAACAUGACCCUGGACUUAUUUAUAGACACGUCAGGGGCCACAAAGGAGAGAAGAGUGAUUGGCAGGGCAGAGUCUGCACGUAUAAGGUAUCCCUCCCAAAUACCAUUUGAGCAUGUCCAAAUCAAGUGGACAGGUCUUCCCCUGGCUGAGACUGGAGCAAUCCUAGCACUAAAAAGUUAAGUACAGUUAUGAAUUAUGAACCUCUAAAAAUUAGGAAGUGGUACAACCAUUUAGAUAAUAAAUGGAUUUUUUUUCA